UAUCUGAAUAGUUUUAAAAACAUCAAUAUGUGAAAUUGAAAAUUAACAGAUAA
rnacentral:tRNA from 1 species